rnacentral:ncRNA from 1 species
CGACCUCAGGUCAGGCAAGACAACCCGCUGAGUUUAAGCAUAUCACUAAGCGGAGGAAAAGAAACUAACAAGGAUUUCCCUAGUAGCGGCGAGCGAAACGGAAAGAGCCCAGCUUGGAAAUCGGGGUGUCUCUGCACCCCGAAUUGUAGUCUGGAGAAGGGUCCUCUGCAGCGGACCGGGUUUAAGUCCCUUGGAACGGGACGCCAGAGAGGGUGAGAGCCCCGUCUAGCCCGGACCCUGCUGCAUCACGAGGCUCUUUCGGCGAGUCGGGCUGUUUGGGAAUGCAGCCUUAAGUGGGUGGUAAAUUCCAUCCAAGGCUAAAUACUGGUGAGAGACCGAUAGCGCACAAGUACCGCGAGGGAAAGAUGAAAAGGACUUUGAAAAGAGAGUUAAAAAGUGCUUGAAAUUGCUGGGAGGGAAGCGAAUGGAUGCCUUGUGCGCCCCUUGGUUGUGUGUGGAACGGCGAGAGCUGGUCUGCCAAGCAAUGCAAGGGGCUGUCCAGCAUGGGAGGACGCGGCGGGAUAACGGCUUGUGAGCCUCUGGCUCCCUGCCAAUGCCGCCGCUGCCUCUGAAAAUGGCGGGGUGCUCCGGUGCCCCGCCAGAUGCUGGAACUUGGGCGUUCCAUCCGACCCGUCUUGAAACACGGACCAAGGAGUCUAACAUGUAUGCGAGUCUGUGGGUGUUAAACCCGUACAGGCGAAAGGAAACUAAUUCGUGGGAUCCCCUUCGGGGGUGCACCACGGACCGACCUUGAUCUUUUGAGAAGGGUUUGAGUGUUAGCAUACCUGCUGGGACCCGAAAGAUGGUGAACUAUGCCUGAGCAGGGCGAAGCCAGAGGAAACUCUGGUGGAGGCUCGUAGCGAUACUGACGUGCAAAUCGUUCGUCAGACUUGGGUAUAGGGGCGAAAGACUAAUCGAACCAUCUAGUAGCUGGUACCCUCUGAAGUUUCCCUCAGGAUAGCUGGAGCUCUUGCUGAGUUUUAUCGGGUAAAGCGAAUGAUUAGAGGCAUCGGGGGUGAAACACCCUCGACCUAUUCUCAAACUUUAAAUAGGUAAAGCAGCCGGGGUUGCUCUGUUGAGCCCCGGCCGUGAAUGCGAGCUCCAAGUGGGCCAUUUUUGGUAAGCAGAACUGGCGAUGCGGGAUGAACCGAAAGCCGGGCUACGGUGCCAAAGUGCGCG